UGCCCCCUACGGGAGGCAGCAGUGGGGAAUAUUGCGCAAUGGGGGCAACCCUGACGCAGCAACGCCGCGUGCAGGAAGAAGGUCUUCGGAUUGUAAACUUUUGUCGCAGGGGAAGAAGACAGUGACGGUACCCUGUGAGAAAGUCACGGCUAACUACGUGCAAGCAGCCGCGGUAAUACGUAGGUGACAAGCGUUGUCCGGAUUUACUGGGUGUAAAGGGCGCGUAGGCGGGAUAGCAAGUCAGUCGUGAAAUGCCGAGGCUUAACCUCGGAGCUGCGAUUGAAACUGUUGUUCUUGAGUAGCGG
rnacentral:rRNA from 1 species